rnacentral:ncRNA from 1 species
CAUUAUGUAGUACUUUCACCACAGAUGCCUAGAGAGUCUGGCAUAUCUCACUGUAACCACCUGAGAGAUCCCAGGAUGUCUGCCCUAUCAACUUUCGAUGGUAGUCAUCGUGCCUACCAUGGUGACCAUGGGUGACUGGGAAUCAGGGUUCGAUUCCAGAGAGGGAGCCUGAGAAACAGCUACAUCCAAUGAAGGCAG